CCUACGUGUGGCAGCAGUGAGGAAUAUUGGUCAAUGGACGCAAGUCUGAACCAGCCAAGUAGCGUGCAGGAUGACGGCCCUCCGGGUUGUAAACUGCUUUUAGUUGGGAAUAAAAGGGGGCUCGUGAGCCCCGUAUUGUAUGUACCAUCAGAAAAAGGACCGGCUAAUUCCGUGCCAGCAGCCGCGGUAAUACGGAAGGUCCGGGCGUUAUCCGGAUUUAUUGGGUUUAAAGGGUGCGUAGGCGGGCUUUUAAGUCAGCGGUAAAAAUUCGGGGCUCAACCCCGUCCGGCCGUUGAAACUGGGGGCCUUGAGUGGGCGAGAAGAAGGCGGAAUGCGUGGUGUAGCGGUGAAAUGCAUAGAUAUCACGCAGAACCCCGAUUGCGAAGGCAGCCUUCCGGCGCCCUACUGACGCUGAGGCACGAAAGUGCGGGGAUCGAACAGGAUUAGAUACCCCGGUAGUC
rnacentral:rRNA from 1 species